UUGAGUUUACUCUCAUUGCCCACUCUGAUGUUACUGUCUUGAAGCAUUAGUUCAACAUAUAAUUAAUGCUCUAAUUAUUUUCUUUUUUUUGACCACAAAAAAGGAAGAUAUUUUGCUUUUUCAACUUGGCAAUUAGAUGAGACUGAGGGAGAAGAAUCCCCACCAGUUUUCAUUAUAAGUUAGAAUGUGGGGGGAUUCGUGUGCAGAGUGAAACCUUGUCUCGCUAGCAAUUUCCUCUAGGAGAGCUCCCCAAACUUGGUAACUGAUGAUUGGGGGUAUAAUUCUUUUACAUUGCCAGUUUUGGCAACUAUUUAGGUGGGUGGUCUUUAAAUUGUACAAUGUGUGAAAUGCCGUGGUUAUGCUUUUGGUUCUGUCUGAUCUAUACUGAAAGUGCUUUUGGAGUGAUAUAGUCAGAGGAGAUUCAUGUUUUUCCUCUGCCGGAACAUACAAAAUUCAAUGGCCUGUUGAGCCAUGAAUACAAGCUUCUAAUAUUUUUCUUGUGUUAUUUCUGUAAGGUUAUUUUGGAAAACUUGCAGUUAAACUGCGAAAAGUUGCACAAGGUAGCUUGGUUCAUUUUUUAGUCAACUUUCAUGUGGGGUAUGCAUGAUUAUAACUGCUGGCUUGGCUUGGCAAGCAGGGCGUUCCCAGCACACCAAACCUUAGUAACACUAUCAAUUCAGAAGGGCAUUAUGUGCACAGUUUCUCUAGGCAUUAAGUUCCAUUUUCUUGCCUUGUUGUAAUUAGACCUUCCUCGUUGUUUGUCUUUGCCUCCUAAGCUUAUAUUGCUCCUUUUUUAUGUAUAUAUAUGUUUGUUGUUGUUGAGGAAGGUUUUGUGGGGAAAUUAUAUGCUAGCUUGUAAGUGAGCACAACAUCUGCUUAAAUACACCUGUAGUUUGAUCAACUUGAAUCUGCAAAUUUAUCAAGAAAGAAUGCAUUUUCAGUUGGCUGUGUUGAAUGCAUAGGUUUUAUCUAGCUACCACAUAAAAGGCCUCUGCUAACCCUACCAUAUCUUGAACUACAUCCUGCUAGAGUUCAUAGUCUAUGAGACUCUUGGAGCUGCAGGGCGGAAAUGUAGAUGCUUGUUGUGAACUAACAGUCCCUUCUCAACUGCAUGUGCUGGGUUCUGUGUAUACAUAUGCUACCAGUCAGGGCUUUAGAGGAUAGAGUAGCUUCAUAGAAAGGAGUUAGACAUCCAUAUUUUAGCCGAUAUUUUUCUUGUUGUACAUUGUUCAGUUGAACUUUCUUGAACUAGUUUACGAUGUUGUUAGCCCAAAAACCUACCAGUUAAAAAGCAUGAUAGAUCCAUCAAUAGGACAUGCUAAAUCCUAAAUAUAACACUUUUGAUCCUUUUCUAUGUUGGAAUUCGGUUAAUGAGUUUCCAUUAUUCUUAUCUGUUCAGGAUGAACAAGAUAAGUUGCGAAGCCCCCCUUAAAACACGGGCGCUGAGUGGUUUUUUUAACUUCAUCACCAUAGCGUUCAAAGUGAUCUUGACCCUCCACAUAUCCAUGCACAAGCGAGCAAGAACAGCCAAUUUGUCGAAACGGCAGCGCUAAUUCUGGGCCUCCCUGUAUCAUGCGCGUGCUAUUCACGGCGCAGAGGAGGAGAUGCUGUGGUAAUAUGUGGUGGUCGGCCAGGAGAAACAGGCGUACUACAAGCAGGUGCAGGAUCUUCCAGCAGAUUAAUCUGUAGGCAAUAAUUCCCAUGGCCAAGGGGGCCAAGCCUCCUGUUGCUCCUCCAUCCAUCAUUUGGGCUUAGCUAAUAUUCAAAGGAUUGUUGGGGUGAUAAUGAAGAUGGCACUCGCCAUCGCUUUGGCCUGGAAGUUCUUGGCAAACGAUAAUGAUGAUCGGCGUGCAAUGCAUAGAUGGGCCACAGCAAGAAUGGAGUGUUGCUGUGUGCAUGAACCAAAGCUUUAAUUUCUCAUAUCUUUUGCUGUCAAGUGGCUGAUGCAUAUUGAAUUUGAAGGCCCGGGCUACCAGCAAUUGCUGUGAUGCUUCCUCAGCAAAGUGGUCUUAUGCAGCCUCAUCAGUCGGCUUCAAGUUCAGGCAAGAAGUCAGUGGCUUGUUUCUAGUUUUCAGUUCUUUCGUAUGAAUAUCGCAUCUUGGCUACUUUCCGGAGAUAUGAAUUGGAAAGGAACUCAAUACUGAAAGAUCUGAAAAGGGGGGAUUUGCUAUCUAGUAAAGCAUAAUACCAGAUGC